rnacentral:rRNA from 1 species
UACAGAGGUCCCAAGCGUUGUUCGGAUUCACUGGGCGUAAAGGGUGCGUAGGCGGUCGGGUAAGGCUGAUGUGAAAUCUCACAGCUUAACUGUGAAACUGCAUUGGAUACUAUUCGGCUUGAGAGUUGGAGGGGGGACUGGAAUUCUUGGUGUAGCAGUGAAAUGCGUAGAUAUCUGGAGGAACACCGGUGGCGAAGGCGGCAUCCUGGACCAAUACUGACACUGAGGAGCGAAAGCCAGGGGAGCAAACGGG